AUCAUGUCUUGCCAGAUUUGCUAUGGUGACCUCUCAACCCUUUCUACCCCCGACCUCUUUCAAUCCAUGCUUCAAAGUGUACAGGCUGAUCUUUUAAAAUCUUAAAUCAUUUUACUUCCUUUCUUAAUAUUAAGUACCUUCCCAUCACACUUAGACUAAAGUCUAAACUCAUGGCUCUCAAGGCCCUACAUGUACCUCUCCUACUGUUCUCAGUGACUGUGUUCCAACCACAACAGCCUUUCUUGCCUAAAUACAGCAAGAUUUUUCUUAUGUAUAUUUGCUGUUUCCACUGCCUUCUUUUCCUCCUGCUCUUUCAGUGGCUGGCUCCUUUGCAGACUUCUGAUUUAUUUCAGAUUCAUUCUAUUUAAAAGAGCAAUCCAACCGGAGUUAUUCUCUGUCACCUCACCCUGAGUAUUUCCUUCAUGGCACUUAUUGCAAUCUGAAAUUUUGUACAUAUAUCUUCUCUUAUUAAAAUUUUAUUUCCUUGCACUAGAUUGUAAAUUUAAGAGGAUAAGACUUAUUUCGUUUUUGAGCUAUUAUUGUCUCCGUUCCUAGCACCAUGCGUGGCACCAUGAUAGACUGUCAGUAAGUGCAUAUUGUUGAAUAAAUUAAUGCUUUCUUAUGCAUA